rnacentral:tRNA from 1 species
GCGGGUGUAGCUCAAUGGUAGAGCCCCAGCCUUCCAAGCUGGUUAUGCGGGUUCGAUUCCCGUCACCCGCU